UUUUUUUUAAAGAACUGCAGCUGGGUUCAACUGCAAUUGGAAUAAAGACCAAAGACGGUGUCGUUCUGGCCGUCGAGAAGCGCAGUACUUCACCCCUGUUGGAACCCAGCAUUGUUGAGAAGAUUAUGGAAAUUGAUAAGAGUAUAUAGGAUGUGCUAUGAGUAGGUUAAUUACUGAUGCACUAGUCGAGACUCAGAUUCUCAUAUGGUGGACCAAUGACCCAACACAAAGCUCGUUGUGAUCUGGCCCUUCGAGAUGAAGAAUCCAUGGUGCAGCUGCAUAUCUUUUUCUCUUCUCGACCAUUCGGGGUAUCUCCUCUCAUUGCUGGUCAUGAUGAGAAUGGGCCAAGCUUGGAUAAUUGAUCCCAAGCUUGUAAGUUAUAGAAAACACGUGAGAAAGCAGCAUACGGCUCCUGGUAAACUCAAUUCAAAAUUUUGGCUGCCAUGGUACUGAUAGGGAUGCAUAUCUCCUUGUGCUGCCAUUUACUCAUUCUCUCUCUCCAUUUCCUCCAUCAUCUUUUCGACCUUUCGUUUUUUAUUUUUACUUAAUUUUUAUUUAAUAUUAAACUGUAAAAUUUUGUUUAACUAAAAUCUACUUAAUUCAAAGAGGGUUUUUUUUUAAAACAAA